GGUUUCAGAUGCACUGUCACUAUAUCACGCCUCGUACAAAAUGGUAGAUGGUGGUUCCCAUCCUGUAUCAAGUGCAACAAGUCUUCAUCCCAGACAUCUACUGGGUACCAAUGCACAUCAUGCAAUGGGACAGAAACAGAGUUCAGGUAACCGUAUACACAAACACCAAACCAAUUAUGUUUUGCAUACAGAGGAAAAUGUCGUCUUCUUGCAUAGCUAUCUAAUAACUGUUAUAUAACACUAACAAUUUCUAGCUCACAGAUAUAAACUCAGCUUCAUUGCCACUGAUGGAACAUCCGAAGCAGAAUUCUUUUGCUUUGAUACUAUAGCUAGACGAAUAGUAGGAAAAUCUUGUCAAACCCUUUUUAGUACAUCAGAUGUUUCUCGAGGUCCUCCUCCAGACCUAGCUGCCAUUGUCUCCCUCAAAUUCACACUUGCAGUUACCAUCAACAUGUCUGCAUUCUGUGUCACAAAUCAAAUCUUUUCUAUCCUUUCUGUCCUAGCAAGUCAUGGAAGACAAGCAUCAAUACCAUGUGCCACACAAAACCUUUCCCAACAACAGAUGUUUACACAAGAGAGCACAGUUGAUGUCAUAACCACACAAGAAUCUCCAGCAACAUCGUUUGCCAAACUAUCCACUUCUACCAAACAAGAAAAUGUGGCACGACGCAAACUUGCGUAUUCUGAAACUCUACACGACACAAAUGUUGAUGAACAGAUUCCAGAUGAGGUCAACAAAGACAGCCUCGCGUCACCUCCUAAGAAGAUCAAGACUACCCAACUAGGUUCUACACACCCUGACAACCUUAAUCAUUAGAUCAUCAAUGGUCUCAUGAUAUUCUCAUGAAGGUAAUAUGACGAGCAUCGUCACUUUUGGAGCACGAAUGCUUUUGUGUAUAUAUAACCAGAACGCUGAAACUUUCGCAGUGAUGUAUAUAUUGAACAGAUCUCUAGCUGUUGAAUCUUGC